GACUGAUACAAAGUUGCUGCGACACAGCCUAGACUCGCAGCUCCCUUAAAGCCGCAGCCACGGCGGACGCUUGGGGUGCCAGGCAGCAGCUACGACACAGGGCACUAGACACUCUCCGCACGCUGCCCCCCGCCCCUCUCGCUCUACUGCCCCAAACUUGCUCGCGCCCACCUGACUCUCCUGCUGCCAACCUCAGGCUAUCAGGAAAGAGGUGAAAAGUGUGGUGACGCGGAAGAAGUCGGUUUUUCCGAGAUCCAGUCAAGGUGUUGUCCCUAUACUCUCCACCUGCAGCGCCAGAAGUGGUCCUGUGCUAUCUUAAGGGAGAACAGCUCCAGGAUAAAGUUCGUGGCUCCCUCAUCUGAAGAGAAAGUGACGUUUUGCUUGGAAUCACCCCAUAAGUGAUGCCCCUGAAAGACUCCAUCAAAAAUGGGGAUGCAGGGUUUUCCAGUUGUUUGGAAUAUUCUGUGCCAAUGCUUGUUAAUAAAGAGCCCUAUCACCUUAAAAAAGUGUACACUUAAU
rnacentral:lncRNA from 1 species